CCUACGGGUGGCUGCAGUAAGGAAUAUUGGUCAAUGGACGAAAGUCUGAACCAGCCAUGCCGCGUGAAGGAUGAAGGUCCUCUGGAUUGUAAACUUCUUUUAUCUGGGACGAAAAAAGGGAAUUCUUUCUCACUUGACGGUACCAGAAGAAUAAGCACCGGCUAACUCCGUGCCAGCAGCCGCGGUACUACGGAGGGUGCAGGCGUUAUCCGGAUUCACUGGUGCGAAGGGGGGCGUAUGUGGGCGGUUUGAAAUCUCCGGGCUUAACCCGGAAACUGCCAUUGAUACUAUCUGUCUUGAAUACUCUGGAGGUAAGCGGAAUAUGUCAUGUAGCGGUGAAAUGCUUAGAUAUGACAUAGAACACCGAUUGCGAAGGCAGCUUACUACGGAGUCAUUGACACUGAGGCACGAAAGCGUGGGGAUCAAACAGGAUUAGAUACCCCAGUAGUC
rnacentral:rRNA from 1 species